rnacentral:lncRNA from 1 species
UGUUGGGGGUCAUGUGUUCGAAUCCUUGCGUGAGCGUAGAUGUUAUUUUUGUUUCGAUUGGCUGAGGGAGAGUUUGGAUGGGAUUGGGAGUCUGAGUGAGUAGAUAGUUGGGGUUGAGGAAAUAGUAGGGAGUUGGGAUCUUUAGAGUUAUCAGGUUUUAUUUGUUUUUUUUUUCAAAAUUUUGGUUUUCCUUCUCUCCUUUAAAUUUCUGACGUGAGUUUUCUUCCUCCAUUCUCCCCCUUUCUUUCUUUUUUCCCCUUUCUCAUCUGUUCAAAAUUUUGGUUCGAUGCUCUCCUUGUUUUUCAGUUUUUGGUGCUCUUCAUGUCAUUUAGAUAAGAGG